rnacentral:lncRNA from 1 species
UAUGUUCCAUAUAAGAAAUAACGGAAAAACACCAGUCCCAAGGAUGCAAGAAACCAAAAUUGCAUGGGGUUGUGAUAGCCUUAAGGGUUGUGCAUUUGAAGUGAGUCUUGCUAAUCUGCAGAAGGCUGAAGUUGCAUUUAGAAAAUUCAAGCUAAUUACUGAAGAUCUCCAGGGCAAAAACUGCCUGACUCACUUCCAUGGCCUGGAUCUUACCCAUGACAAAAUGCGUUCUAUUGUCAAAAAAAAUGGCAGACCAUGAUUGAAGCUCAGGCUGAUGUGAAGACUACCAAUGGCUAUUUGCUUCAUCUAUUCUGCGUUGGUUUUACUAAAAAGAGGCAACAAUCGGAUAUGGAAGACCUCUUAGGCUCAGCACCAACAGGUCUGCCAAAUCUAGGAGAAGAUGAUGGUAAUCAUGACGGGGUAGGGGGCAGAGGAGUUGUUGUAGACAAAUGAUUUGAAAGAAGUGGUCAAUAAAUUGAUCCCAGACAGCAUUGGAAAACAGAAAAGGCUUGCCAAUCUGUCCUGUCCGCGAUGUUUUCACUAACAUCGUGGGAUAGGGAUGGGGAGAGGAUGUGGUGAAGGUAGUGGCUCUGGAAAAACCACUGGGGGAGAGACAGGGGCUAAAGUUGAACAAGCUGGUGGAUAAAAGCCACUGGACCAAGACUCUGUAAAAAUUCAGACUUU